rnacentral:rRNA from 1 species
UACCUGCAGCUCAAGUGGUGGCCGUUAUUAUUGGGCCUAAAACGUCCGUAGCCGGUUUCAUAAAUGCCUGGGUAAAUCGUACGGCUUAACCGUAUGAAUUCCGGGUAGACUGUUUAACUUGAGACCGGGAGAGGCUAGAGGUACUCCUGGGGUAGAGGUGAAAUUCUGUAAUCCUAGGGGGACCACCAGUGGCGAAGGCGUCUAGCUAGAACGGGUCUGACGGUGAGGGACGAAGCCCUGGGGAGCAAACGGGAUUAGAUACCCCGGUAGUCCAGGGUGUAAACGCUGCUCGCUUGAUGUUAGUCGGGCUCCGAGCCCAACUAGUGUCGGAGAGAAGUUGUUAAGCGAGCUGCCUGGGAAGUACGGUCGCAAGACUGAAACUUAAAGGAAUUGGCGGGGAGCACCGCAACGGGUGGAGCGUGCGGUUU